GCGUCGUGGUGAAUGGACAAGUAAACAAGCAAACAACAAAUUACAAAUACUCAAUAAAUAAAUCGUACAAACUAUAAUUGCUAACUACAUAAUGGCCGAUAAACAAUCUAAUGGUGAAGCCCCCAAGUCCGUUAUAGUGACAGCAGCUGCCAAAAAGGCAAUGCCCGAAACGCUUAACACAGCUUCAGCUGGCGCCGCCGAGGAAAAGCCGGAAAACCAGGACAAGGCGCUGGCGCAGCCCACCGCUUACAGCAUGCGACCAGCCUUUGGCGAGAUGUUUCCCCUGCCCACCAUAAAGCACAUCAUGAACACCGUGAUGGCCGAGAGACUCAAGGACAAAACCUAUGACAAGGACGUCGCCAGGACAUGGACGAGUGAGAUAGCCGAUGCGGUGAACCAGCAGAUAGCCACCAGUGCCAAGGUGAAGCGCUACAAGCAUGUGGUUCAGGUGAUGCUCGGCCAGGAGUUGGGUGCCGGUGCCACCUACAAUUCGCGCUGCUGCUGGGACUGCGACUGUGAUACCUCAGUGUCCGAGGUCUUUAGCAACACGAGUCUCUUCUGCGUGUGCACCGUGUUUGGCACUUACCAGUACUAGGACAUAUCUACUUUCCGGGGGAACUGAUUAGGCUAAGGACAACCUCACUAUAUAUUUAUUUGCAAAAGGCACACAAAGGCAUCCCAUCACUUUCGUAGCGACCUUGCCU